CGGGGCGGGGCCGGGCCGGGCCGGGCCGCCCUCCCUCGGUCGCCGCUUCCCGCCCUGCCGGCCGGGCUGGGGCGCGGCGGGGGGCAGCGGCGGGCCGGGAGCCCCCAGCCGCGCACCGCGCACCGCACGCCGCCAGCCCGGCGCCGGGCGCAGCCGCCAUGCCGGGGCGCGGCCUCCCCGCGCCGCCGCCGCUGCCGUCGGGGAAGGUGAGCAGCUGCCCUGCUGCGUGCUGACAUGAUGACAGCUAGCGAGGCAGCCGAUGUGAGCAGCAAGUCUGAAAGCAGUGUCUGCAAGUCUGUUGAGAGGAUCAAGUUUGCAGAUAAAAACAAUACAGCUGCUGUGGAGGAGUUAGAAAGACUUUUUGAGUUUUCGAGUGAGAGAUGUUCUGAAGGUGUUUCUGUCGCACGAAGUUUAACACCUGAAGCUGAACCAAUUUCUUCUGUGGUGAAGAACCCACUGGGAGCCUUGGAGAACUUGAUGCUGGAUCCAAGGCUAGACUGCUUUCAGCAGAACAUGCUUAGUCCCAAAAUGAUCAUCAGCGACCCGUCUGUGGAUCUGAACGUUAAAGAAAACAGUAAAAUCAUCAGGAGACAGAUAGGAGGCACUCAGAACAUAAGGUCACCUGGAAAAACUGGCUUGAGGAAUAAGUCCUUCAGCAUCAAGGACAAAAUCUCAGAAUGGGAAGGGAAAAAGGAAACACCCUCUGCUCCUGCCACUCGCAGAGAGGAGGAGCAAGGAGUUAAAGAGGAGCACAAGAUACCCUGUGUAAUUGAGAAGACGAGUGCGAUAGCAUUGGUGACUCGUAAAGUGGAGACCAAGAGACUUCUGAACUGGGAACCGGAGUGCAAAGGGACAGGCAAAGAGAAUGAGCGGAAAGUAGGAACUCUGAAAGGCAUGGGGCAGGGAACAGAGCGAAAGCGGGAAACAGAGAAGGGUGAGGAAGUGGAGUCCAGUGUUGGAAAAUGCAAAGAGGUAAAAGGUGGGAAAUGGGAGGUCCAGAAGGAGAAUCUUUCAGUGCUCAGCCAGGUGAAAAAGCUGGAGCAGGCUUUGAAGGAUGGCUCAGCAGAGCUGCAGCCUCAGUUGCCUGGUACUUACUACUCCCCACAGUGCCUGCAGGAGAAGGCAGCACAAGUACACGCUCACCCUGAGGGCCAUGAGAGUCCAUAUGGGGCUGAACUCAACAAAAGGCUGCUUGGCUUGGACUGUGAAAUCAGUGAGCCAAUUUUUGGGACUCUAGAAGAGGUAAGAACUUCUCAGGUGAAACUCAAGGACUGCACUUUGGAGAAUGUGUACACAGAGCCAGGAGUACCGGAGAAGAAACUCUUCAUCAACCCGCUGCCAAAGCCCCGGCGGACUUUCAAACAUGAGGGGGAGGAGGACUGGGUGCCAACAGCUAGGAAUAAAAGAAAUUUACCCCCUCUGCCAUCCAUUCCUCCCCCUCCUCUCCCUUCUUCUCCUCCUCCAUCAGCCGUCAGCAGAAGGCUCUGGAAUGGGAAGCACAAGAACAACGCCGACCACAGGAAGUCAUAUGAGUUUGAGGACUUGCUACAGUCAUCAUCUGAGAACGGCAGGGUGGAUUGGUACGCGCAGACCAAGUUGGCCCUCACACGCACUUUAUCUGAGGAAAACGUCUAUGAAGACAUACUGGAUCCACCAUCAAAGGAAAACCCCUACGAAGACAUUGAGACCAACAGCCGCUGUUUGGGGAAGAAAUGUGUCCUGACCUUCCCAGCAUCCCCCACCUCUUCUGUACCUGGGACCCCCACUAAGUUGCUUUCCAAGCCCAUUUUUUUCCGACAAAGCUCAGAGCGGCGGAGUUUCAAACUGCCAGAUAUACGGAAACUGAGCCGUGAUGGGACUGGGUCACCAUCCAAAAUCAGCCCUCCCUCGACCCCCAGCAGUCCAGAUGACACCUUCUUCUCCCUGGGAGAUCCUCAGAAUGGCAAGAGGAGAAGGAAGAUUCCCAAGCUUGUGUUGAAAAUCAAUGCUAUUUAUGAGGCACGGAGGGGAAAGAAACGUGUCAAGAGACUAUCGCAGUCUACAGAGAGCAAUUCAGGGAAAGUUACAGAUGAAAACAGUGAAUCAGACAGUGAUACUGAAGAGAAGCUUAAAGCUCACAGCCAGCGCCUGGUCCAUGUGAAAUCUCUCCUGAAGCAAACCCCACGGUACCAAACCCUGGAACGGGACUUGAUAGAGUAUCAAGAGAGGCAGCUGUUUGAAUACUUUGUCGUGGUGUCACUGCACAAGAAGCAGGCCGGGGCUGCCUAUGUCCCUGAAGUUACCCAGCAGUUCCCAUUAAAGCUUGAACGCUCAUUCAAAUUCAUGCGUGAGGCAGAAGACCAAUUGAAAGCUAUUCCCCAGUUUUGCUUCCCUGAUGCUAAGGACUGGGCCCCCAUCCAGCAGUUUACCAGUGAGACAUUCUCAUUUGUCCUGACUGGGGAAGAUGGAAGCAGGCGGUUUGGAUACUGUAGAAGGCUGCUGCCCACUGGGAAAGGGAAGCGUCUCCCAGAAGUUUACUGUAUUGUGAGUCGUCUUGGAUGCUUCAACCUGUUCUCUAAGAUCUUGGAUGAGGUUGAGAAGAGACGGGGCAUUUCUCCAGCCUUGGUGCAGCCCCUCAUGAGGAGUGUCAUGGAGGCACCUUUCCCAGCUUUGGGCCGGACGAUCACAGUUAAGAACUUCUUGCCAGGCUCAGGGACAGAGGUGAUUGAGCUGCGGCGGCCUCUCGACUCCAGGCUUGAGCACGUUGAUUUUGAGUCCCUGUUCACGUCCCUCAGUGUGCGGCACCUGAGCAGAGUCUUUGCUUCCCUGCUUCUGGAAAGGAGGGUGAUCUUUAUCGCAGACAAGCUCAGCACUCUCUCGAAGUGUUGCCACGCCAUGGUGGCCCUCCUGUACCCCUUCACUUGGCAGCACACCUACAUCCCCGUGCUGCCGCCUUCCAUGAUCGAUAUUGUGUGCUCGCCCACCCCCUUCCUCAUCGGCCUGCUCUCCAGCUCUCUGCCCCGCCUGAAGGAGCUCCCGGUAGAGGAGGUCCUUGUGGUUGACCUUGUAAAUAACCGGUUUCUGAGACAGAUGGAAGAUGAGGACUCCAUUCUGCCUCGGAAGCUGCAGGCUGCCUUAGAGCACAUCUUGGAGCAAAGGAACGAACUGGCAAGCGACAAGGAGGAGGGCUCUGUGAAUGGCAAGCAGGAGUCCAGCCCUUUGAAUGAGGUGGUGUCUGAGGCCUUUGUCCGCUUCUUUGUGGAGAUCGUGGGCCACUACUCCCUCUUCCUGACACCCAACGAGCGAGAGGAGCGGACUCUGCAGCGCGAGGCCUUCCGGAAGUCUGUCUCCUCUAAGAGCCUCCGACGCUUCCUGGAAGUUUUCAUGGAGACGCAGAUGUUCGGGGGCUUCAUUCAAGAGCGGGAGCUGCGGAAGCAGGGGAUCAGAGGUCUGUUUGAGGUACGAGCUCAGGAGUACCUGGAAACACUUCCCAGUGGGGAGCAGAGUGGAGUCAAUAGGUUCCUGAAAGGACUAGGUAGCAAAAUGAAAUUCCUCCACAAAAAAUAAGAGUGAAGCACGUGCUCAUUCCAUAGAAGAGAAGGGCUUUACCAUUUAACAGCAACAAAUCGGACUGUUACCAGUCAUUCCCAUUUGGCCUGCUCCCAGGGGCCAACGGUCUUGGGUGAGCUGACCACUGGAGGCAAGAGGAGACCGGGAUGUGCUCACGCAGGUGUGUGGUGCCACAAGAAGAUUGGAUGACCGUGGAGCUGCCUGGAAAGUCUCUGGAUUUCUACAGUACCAUGCACUGGACCAAGCGCGCUCUGAACUCUGCACUAGCAUGUUGCAGAUGUCCCAGCGGAUUGGAUCUCUUAACUAGUCAAUCCUUUGUUUUGUUGUACUUUUCUAUUUAUAUUGGGGUUAGAACAAAUAUUAACCGAUGACUCUUGCCCUGCCUCCUCUCCUCCUGGUGAUACAGGAGGCCAGAAUGGGACUCCCACGGGGACUGAGCAGAGCUCAAACACCAAGGAGGGGAGGAAAGAGGAGAUGUAUGGAAAUAGGUCUUUGCAAAAUGAGGACGCUGAGGACUGCAAGGAUGCAGACUGACCAGGAGGAGCUUACGAGCAGGGGGAACAGGGUCUUGCCUCUGAGACUGGCUUCCAGAUGGUUGGAUGGGUCCUCCUCUCCCGCUUCUGAGCGUUGCUGCUGAUCAGCUCAGGCAUUACCAGUCAGCCAGUAGUGUCUCUUCAGCAGUUAGAAAACAUAAUGACGCUAGGUAAGGCUGGUUAGAAUAAAAAUCAGGACAUCAGCUCUACCAGGAAACGCUUGACGGUGGACCUAUUUGAAGGUGCAGUCUGGAGGAGCUCCUGUCUAGGUUACGUGGUUGCUACUUGCCCUCAGUCACUGGGGCUCUCUGCAAUUUUGAAGUCAUAUCUAUGGUUGAUUGAAGCCAUGAGAGGAAGGAACCCCCUGCAAUGUCUAGUCCUCCAAACUGCCUGGCAGAGCAAUAAGCAGCAGGCAGGAGGAGCGUGGCUGCUGCUUUUUUCUGUGCUUUCUGAGGGGAGGUAUCAGGACCUGCUGUUGCCGCUCCCUCCAGUUCGCCUGCUGGCCUCCUGCCUCUGUGGGAAGGAGGCAUGGAGUGGCACAAGGGAGGUAUGUUGAAGUUGCAGGGGGUUGAAGUCUCUUUCUCAGCUGGUGUGAAAGCUGUUUCCCUUCCACUGCUUGUGAGGGCAGCCAGCCAAGAACAGCUGGAGCAUCCUUUGGUCUCCUCUGCUCUUCAGAAAGGAAAUGAGGGCAAGUUUACUGCUGCCCGAAUGGAAAAUCUCUUCCUCUGCCCUCCAAGAGGGUUGCAGGGCAGUUGGCUCAGUGAGAGGUGCCUGCAGGCAAGGGAGAGGUCCUUGGGACAGCGAUAUUCGGGGCACCUGUGCUAUGCAGCACUGCUGGGGUUUUGCAAAUGGUCCCUUGUGAUCAGUGGGCUGUUGUGCAUUAGAGGCCUUUUUGACCAAUAUCAAGGUUCAAAGGAGCUCGCUUCUGCUCAAUACGAUAGGAGCUGAGGAUCCACUGCCUGCUGGGGUCUUUUGAAGCCCAUGUUUCCAAAGAUUCAUACAGCGGCAGCCACUUUCCCUGCUAGAGCUGAUAUUUAAGUACAGAGGAGAUGGGUUGUGGCAGGGUGGUGGCAGGAAUGGGUGGCUGGGCAGAUGGGGGAGAUGGUGGAGGGAUGAGUGAAGAGGAUUGAUACGGUGCUUUGUUAGCUCCCAACAUAACGGGACACAUUACAUCUAUGAUACACAGUGCUAUCUGGGUGCCAUGAUAGAUAAGGGACAGCAGUAGUAUCACACUGGGUGCGGGGACAAGUCAACAGACAGCACCACAGUCUCUGCGCUUCCCAAAGGAUAUGUGGAGACAGUUGAAGUAGCGAUAAAAAGGGAUUGGACAAGCCAACGUGCAGCUGAACCUGCAAGCGUGUCCGAGGGAGCAUGCCCCACGUGUGGGGGGUCUGCAGACUUAGUGCAGUUACUUGAAACAUAUGGUGGUGUGUUUGUUCUUAGUCAAAUUCAGUACACUAGGCUUUUACAAUACUAUGCUCAUUUAUUAUAGUCUGUGCCACAGGACUCUUUACAAAGUGAAAAAAGAACUUAGAGAAAGUACCCGAGGGAGGAGACACGCAAUAGCCGUGUUCGCAGGUGAACUGCGGAGUGAGGGAGAGGCAGGGAGGCUGUUCAGAUGCAGGAGCUGCUUCAUCAGAUUCAAUGUGUGAAAGAGCAGAGAGAGGUGAUAGGAGAAUGGGGGAUGGUUUGUGGAGCAGAGAAAUUGGCAAGAACUAAAACCAGACUUUAAAGACCAGAAGAGCGACUCUGAAGGAGAUGCAAGCCUAUAUAGUUGUGAGCACGACAUGAGCUCUGCUGCACGGUGAGGGCAAAGGCGUUGACCUCAGCGGGCACAGAGUCAGGCCUGCCAGCGUCCUGGGCCUGUUUGUGGAUCAUCCCCUGGGUUUUCUGGGCCUGGCACCCUACUGAAAAUUUGCACUGUUUAGUCUACUUUGCCACAGGAGGCAGUAGUGGCACACCAAAGGAAAUUGUGAACUGGGGUGUGAUGUAAGGUUAAUUAAAUGCUGUAUUUUA